GGGGGCUUAGCUCAGCUUGGUAGAGCACUUGGUUUGGGACCAAGGGGUCGCAGGUUCAAAUCCUGUCUUCCCGA
rnacentral:tRNA from 1 species